CAAAUCAGCCCAAGGGAUUCGUGUGUGGAUGGACGAAAAAAAAACCCCCACCCCCGUAUGCAUGAAUAACCAUUGCCAUGGGAUUGGUUUAAAAACUCCCACAAAGCACCCUGGCAUCCAAAGAACCUUCCAACCUUGUCCACUCAUUCAAAAACAAUUUAUUAAUAAUAAACCCCUCUCACAGAUGUGAAUCGGCUGGUUACAGUCGCGUUGCGUUGCGUUGCGUUGUAUUGUAUUGCUUGUUCCAAAUGACGUGCGUUGGCAAAGAAAGGAGGAAAUCGCUCACGGAGUCUUGGGCAAGAGAAUGGUAAAAGGAGGCUCAGCUUUAUGGAAUCCAUUGCGUCAAAUAGUGUGUCUGGCAUCUGAGAUCUGGCAGCAAAUCAGAGGCU
rnacentral:sRNA from 1 species